rnacentral:tRNA from 1 species
UAGGAAAUAAUAUAAAGGGAGUAUAAAGAGUUUUGAUCUCUUUUGUGUAGGUUCGAUUCCUGCUUUUCUAAG